GACGAACGCUGGCGGCGUGCUUAACACAUGCAAGUCGAACGGGAGUAUCGAAGAAGCUUGCUUUAGAGAUACUUUAGUGGCGGACGGGUGAGUAACGCGUGAGGAGCUGUCCAAUGCAGGGGGACAACAGUUGGAAACGACUGCUAAUACCCCAUAAGCCGAGAGGUAAAAGGAUUUAUCCGGCAGAGGAGGUACUCGCGUCCUAUCAGCUAGUAGGUGAGGUAACGGCUCACCUAGGCGAAGACGGGUAGCCGGCCUGAGAGGGCGAACGGCCACACUGGAACUGAGAUACGGUCCAGACUCCUACGGGAGGCAGCAGUGGGGAAUAUUGGGCAAUGGGGGGAACCCUGACCCAGCGACGCCGCGUGGGUGAAGAAAUCCCUCGGGAUGUAAAGCCCUGUUGUAUGGGAAGAGCAGAAGACGGUACCAUACGAGGAAGCCCCGGCAAACUUCGUGCCAGCAGCCGCAGUAA
rnacentral:rRNA from 1 species